ACCCCCAUAUAUCUAAGAGAGAGAUGUUGCUAGGUCAUUUCAACGUUCGUUAGUAGGUUUUUUAUUAACUCAAACCUUUGUAAGGAGCUUAGGAGACGAGGACACCAAAACUAAAAAGAUUAGUAUUGUCGUUUAAAGGCAAACAGUCCAAGAAUGUAGUGGAUAUUGCGAUGAAAUCAUGGGAAGGCCUUGAAUCCAUCACCAUUAUCGCUAUCAUCAAGCCGAGUCGCAUUUUUUCUGCCAUUAUGCAAAGGCAUUGGAAGGUGAGGUUGCGUUGCUGGCUACCAUGUCAUAAGCAGCCAAGACCGAGAUGGUAGAUAAGGCUAGGAGUUCCACUGUUUUUGGAAAUAUAAAGUUUAGAGAGAAGUCAAAAAUGAGAUAACCAUGAUGGCGAUAUGGUCAAGGUUGAAGUUGUUGUAUAUGACCAAGUCCUUGGCUCAUAGGCAAUUGUGAAAACAAAAAGUCUACUCAUUUUGGAUGUUGGAGUCAAAAACCAUCACGAAAAGCUGAAGGAGUACAAGUUAAGAGAAAUUGCUGGAAAACACAGCAAACACGAAAGGGAACUGAUUAAUGGCAUCUACUACAUUGGGAUUCUAGAAAGUAACAGCCAAUGGUUUGAAGAACAACAACCUAAUCUUCACCGGUUAUCCUGUAAUUGGCUAUCAAGGAAAAAUGCAAGCUUCAGGUUCAUGCUUAUAUUCAACAAGAAUAGACACAUCAUGUGCUUGGGAUCCAGGAAUCAAAGGAUUGUUCUUCUAGGAGUCAACAACAACUUUCCCUGCUUUAGAAUUUGGAGACUUUAUCAACGAUGUGAAGAAAUUAAGAGAUAUAAAUCCACAAAAUUUUUGUGGCAUCGAUAUCUAUAAUGGAAUUUUGAUACGUUACAUUAAAGCCUCAAAAGUAUAGGACAACCAGAAGAGUCUGUAGUGAUUGAUUUCAACUAUUAUCUUGCAAAUGAUCAAUUUCCUGCUAGAUUAAACCAAGAUGUGUGGGAGAAAUUGUAACAGAUUGUCUUUUUAAUUAUAGUGCUAAGCCACAUUGGGCUAAGAAUAGGAACUUAGCAUUUUUAAAUGUGCAACAUAAAUCUCCAAAGUUUAAUCUUUAUUGAAGCAAAAAAAAAAAAAAUGGAUCCACAAAAUGUAUUCUCUGGUGAUUGGUCAGAUGAGAUUUUGUAUUGGAAGGAAUUGGUAAAAUUUGAUGGCUGUGCUUUGGAAGGACAAUGUAUUUAUUCUGAAGAUAGAUAUUGUAGUCGAUGCAAGGGAUUCACCAAAUUAAAAGUGAUUCACCAAAUUACCAUGUUUCCAACCUUUUCUUGCUACAUUGCUGACGGGUUCCGCACUGUUGUACUCAUCAUAAGUACAUUGCUUUUACAGAUUGAUAAGUUAACCUUCCUAACAUAUUUUAUGGUUAUGGAUAUAAGUGGUGGUGAUGAAUUCCCACUCUUAUGGGGUAAAUGAUUUCGGGGUCAUUUUGUUCCUGAAUAUGUAACCAGUAGUCACAAUAGUCUAUCAAUGUAUCAAAAUUUUAAAAUAGUCAACAUUGUGUACUACAUCUGUCAAAAUGGUCUUUUAUGUUAAAAUGUUUCGUUAAUAUUGUCAUGUUAGUUCCUCAAUAUACCUACAGAAUGUCAUAUCAAUCCCUAUAGGUAUUUAUUUAUUGUUA